GCAGGCAAAAAUGUAGGCCGGUCACGGAGGUAGUGGAAUACCGGGACGACCCGCGGCAGAGGCACCACAACACGGGUAGCGGCGAUGGCUUCCGCUCUACGCCUGCCCGACGGCUGGAAAACCGUCAUCGACGACUCCGUUCCCGUCGCGGCAGUCCCGGUAAAGCCGCUUGUAGUGGUUGACGCAGCCUGCCGUAGAAUAUUUUCAUCAAGGCAUAGGCGGCGACGAGGCAAGGCCUCGAAGUCCCCUCAUGAGACCCGGAGCCCGGAUCAAUAAACUGUGCCGGAUUUAAAAUAAAGUUGUUUCCAUCCA